GCAGGGGUGGCGGAGCCCGGUAACGCGCGGGACUUAAGAUCCUGUGGCCUAGCGCCUUCGGGGGUUCAAAUCCUCCCCCCUGCA
rnacentral:tRNA from 1 species